AACGAACGCUGGCGGCAGGCCUAACACAUGCAAGUCGAACGCCGUAGCAAUACGGAGUGGCAGACGGGUGAGUAACGCGUGGGAACAUACCCCUCGGUUCGGAAUAACUCAGGGAAACUUAGAGCUAAUACCGGAUACGUCCGAGGUUUUAAUCGACCUUGGAGAAAGAUUUAUCGCCGGAGGAUUGGCCCGCGUCUGAUUAGCUUGUUGGUGAGGUAAUGGCUCACCAAGGCGACGANCAGUAGCUGGUCUGAGAGGAUGAUCAGCCACACUGGAACUGAGACACGGUCCAGACUUCCACGGAAGGCAGCAGUGGGG
rnacentral:rRNA from 1 species